AGAGUUUGAUCCUGGCUCAGAUUGAACGCUGGCGGCAUGCCUUACACAUGCAAGUCGAACGGCAGCGCGGGAGCAAUCCUGGCGGCGAGUGGCGAACGGGUGAGUAAUACAUCGGAACGUGCCCAAUCGUGGGGGAUAACGCAGCGAAAGCUGUGCUAAUACCGCAUACGAUCUACGGAUGAAAGCAGGGGAUCGCAAGACCUUGCGCGAAUGGAGCGGCCGAUGGCAGAUUAGGUAGUUGGUGAGGUAAAGGCUCACCAAGCCUUCGAUCUGUAGCUGGUCUGAGAGGACGACCAGCCACACUGGGACUGAGACACGGCCCAGACUCCUACGGGAGGCAGCAGUGGGGAAUUUUGGACAAUGGGCGCAAGCCUGAUCCAGCCAUGCCGCGUGCAGGAUGAAGGCCUUCGGGUUGUAAACUGCUUUUGUACGGAACGAAACGGCCUUUUCUAAUAAAGAGGGCUAAUGACGGUACCGUAAGAAUAAGCACCGGCUAACUACGUGCCAGCAGCCGCGGUAAUAC
rnacentral:rRNA from 1 species